CGAGGAGUCCGCGGUAGUGAUGGAGCCCUGCUACCCUGCCAUCGCUCCGCGGAGCGUCGCGUGAAGCAUCCUUGUGUCUGCGAGAUCUUGCUGAGGGCCAGGUAUCCAUUCUUCUGCGGCAGCUGUAGAACCUACGGAGGCUAGAGGUCCGUGGGUGGUGGAGAAUCAUUUGCGUAGCAAAAAAAAAAGGAAGGCGAGCGCUCCUGCAUCCCUCCAGACGGCACCCAGACAGAGUUUCUCUGUGUAACAACCCUGGCUGUCCUGGAACUCUCUCUCUGUGGACCAGGCUAGCCUCAAACUACAGAGAUCUGCCUGCCUUCUGACCUAAGGCAUGCACCACCACACCGGGCUGAAGAAAAAUUUAAUAAAACAGUAUGCACUUCAAUACAUAAAUACUUGGAUAUGGCUUCACUAGAAGAAAUAAUGAAAUAAUCUUACACAAAAACACAUGCAUGUGACUUGUACAUGUGACAGCUACAUGUCUAUUUAG
rnacentral:lncRNA from 1 species